CACAGAGGUGUGAUGAGACUCGCGUGGGAA
rnacentral:piRNA from 1 species